rnacentral:rRNA from 1 species
UGGGGAAUUUUGGACAAUGGGCGAAAGCCUGAUCCAGCAAUGCCGCGUGUGUGAAGAAGGCCUUCGGGUUGUAAAGCACUUUUGUCCGGAAAGAAAUCCUUGGCUCUAAUACAGUCGAGGGAUGACGGUACCGGAAGAAUAAGCACCGGCUAACUACGUGCCAGCAGCCGCGGUAAUACGUAGGGUGCAAGCGUUAAUCGGAAUUACUGGGCGUAAAGCGUGCGCAGGCGGUUUGCUAAGACCGAUGUGAAAUCCCCGGGCUCAACCUGGGAACUGCAUUGGUGACUGGCAGGCUAGAGUAUGGCAGAGGGGGGUAGAAUUCCACGUGUAGCAGUGAAAAUGCGUAGAGAUGUGGAGGAAUACCGAUGGCGAAAGGCAGCCCCCUGGGCCAAAUACUGACGCUCAUGCACGAAAAGCGUGGGGAGCAAAACAGGAUUAGAUACCCUGGUAGUCCACGCCCUAAAACGAUGUCAACUAGUUGUUGGGGAUUCAUUUCCUUAGUAACGUAGCUAACGCGUGAAGUUGACCGCCUGGGGAGUAACGGUCGCAAAGAUUAAAACUCAAAGGAAUUGACGGGGUCAUAGCUGUUUCCU